AGGUAGCGCUCCAUAGAAAUGGUUUCCGGAAAGAUCAAUGCUGGUUAGAAGGAAAAGAGUUUUGGUGUACUGCAGUUCAAGGCCAUUCAUGACCACACGAAUGUUUUCUUGGUAAUAGUGAUUCUCAUCAAUAGUUCCAUAACGCAAAUAAUCUCCAACCGUUUGCUCUUGACCCAUGGCCUUAAGAUCGCCGAAGGAAGCAGGAAUGGAACCAUUGAACUUGUUUUCUGCCAGGUCCAAAAUUUGCAAGGAACUCAAAUUUGAAAGCGCCAAGGGAAGUUUUCCA
rnacentral:misc_RNA from 1 species